rnacentral:rRNA from 1 species
UACGGAGGGUGCAAGCGUUAUCCGGAUUCACUGGGUUUAAAGGGUGCGUAGGUGGGUUGGUAAGUCAGUGGUGAAAUUUCCGUGCUUAACAUGGAAACUGCCAUUGAUACUACUGAUCUUGAAUUUUCAGGAGGUAAGCGGAAUAUGUCAUGUAGCGGUGAAAUGCUUAGAUAUGACAUAGAACACCAAUUGCGAAGGCAGCUUACUACAGGAAUAUUGACACUGAUGCACGAAAGCGUGGGGAUCAAACAGG